GGUGGUUCUCAGGUGCCGCGCCCUGGAAUCAGGCUUCCUCCUCUCUGGUUCUGGGUGCGUCACCCAAGAACCACC
rfam:Myotis davidii contig42046, whole genome shotgun sequence.